rnacentral:misc_RNA from 1 species
GCCUUCGCCAUUUUCUUCCGUUGCCCGGUCAUCGAAGUUUUCUACUUGCUCGGCUGUGUCGGCAGAGCGUGCCCGUGUGUGCGCGACUGUGAUCUCGACGCUGGACGUGAGCGGCACUUAGCCACGGCAGUGCAACAUGCCGCACUGUGACCGUGUUGGUUUCAUAAUGGUCUGGAGACUCAAGCGAGCUUGACCCUUUGUGUAUGUGUAUUCGGCCAGCACCUGGUUCGGCACAGUCGGAAUUGCGAACGUUGAGAAGAAGACUACGGAAAAGCCUGUAAAAAAUCCACCCGCCAGCUUACCAGCGACGUUGGCACCACGUGAACUGGAAUACGAUGGGAUAACGCUCGCUGAAGACGAAUAUUUGACGUACGUGCUCUAUGCUGAUGACAAGUGUGUCUUGACUGGACACUACAAUCAGACAGACCGCGUUGCGUGCUACUUACGGGUGACAGAGUCAGCAGUAAACAAUCCUCUAUCGCACUGCAACUUCAUUUUGACAGCGUUGUGCGGGAAUCCUGCCUACAAUGCAUACAAAUAUGAGGAAAUGACAUGCAGGGACUAUGACGUAUAUAUAAGAAAAAUAAAAUGAGCAUCGG